rnacentral:tRNA from 1 species
GAAGGUAUAGUAUAAGAAGUUAAUACAUUUCAUUUACAUUGAAAAUAUAUUACAUAUGUAGUUGCCUUUA